CGUCAAGUCAUCAUGCCCCUUAUGUCCAGGGCUUCACGCAUGCUACAAUGGCCGGUACAGAGGGCUGCGAUGUCGUGAGGCGGAGCGAAUCUCUUAAAGCCGGUCUCAGUUCGGAUCGGGGUCUGCAACUCGCCUACAUGAAGCCGGAAUCGCUAGUAAUCGCGGAUCAGCAUGCCGCGGUGAAUACGUUCCCGGGCCUU
rnacentral:rRNA from 1 species